CUAUCAUCUGUAACUUAAUCUACAAAGUCACGUUUCCCGUGUAGCAUAAUGUCUGCAGGUCCUGGGGAUUCCGACACGGACCUCUCUUCGGUGGGGUGGGUGGUUAGGCGAGGAGCAGGGGAGGAAGCAUUAUCUGUUUCCACAGUCAGCACAAACUCUACACAGAGCAGUGGGGAAAGUUCCAUUGAUUGAAUGACUUAAUAAAGGAGUGCAGGUACCUCUGUAUAUCAUACUCACCAUUUCCCUUCAAGCAGGCUUCCUCCUCAUGCAGGAAAACACGGCCCUUGAUGGUUUCUGAACCUUAGGACCCUCGGCUACUCCAUUUGGAAAGAUGCUCAGUUCCUUCCUUCUGCUCUCUUAGGAAAAUCCUGGGGAACAAUUCGAGUCAAGCUUUACUGGCCCAGGCCUGUGGAUCAUCAAAGAGUGUGGACUCGGGUGGCGUCUUCAUCGGACAGUGAGGUUUAGGACCCCACACAUAGAGGAAGUUCAACAAACAUCUGUCAAACAAAUGAACAUUCCCCUUGACAACCGAAAGCAGUUCAGAAAUGGAAAGACCCCUUGCAAAUAUCUAGCUUGACUACUCCAAGACCCAGGGAGGGUGGAACCGACUCGCCCGUGUUUGUAGAGCUGACCAAUGAAUGGACUCAGGCCUCCAGACUCCAAAUUUAGUUCCUCCAGACACAGGAAUCAUGCAGGGAGACGUAUGCCGAAAAAUAGCUCCAGAGCCCACAGAUUGUCCUACAUGGUGAGGGAAUUCGGCCCCCAAGGAUCACUCUCUGUCCGAAUUACUAAGAAACUUAAGCUCGGUGACAGCCCAAAUAAGUUGCCUCAGAUAGUGGAAAAAAAAAAAAAAAAGACCACAUCAUGGGGCCAGCGUGGCACACACAGCAAGUCAGCAAGGUAAGCCACUGCAGGGGCACCAGCAUCCCCUGUGGGAGCUCCAGUUUGAAUCUUGGCUGCUCUGCUUCUGACCCAGCUCCUUGCUAAUGCCCCUGGGGAGGCAGCAGAAGAUGACCCAGGUGCCUGAACCCCUACCACCUCGUGGGACACCUGGAUGGAGUUCCUGACUCCUGUCUUUGGCCUGGCCCAGAAUGGGCCAUUUUGGCAUCUGGGAAGGGAACCAGUAGAUGAAAGAUUCUGCCCUCUCGUUCUCUGUCUCUCCAUCUCUCUGUCACUCUGCCUUUCAAAUAAAAGAAAUAAGUAUAUUUUUUAAAAGGACA
rnacentral:lncRNA from 1 species